rnacentral:rRNA from 1 species
ACGCUACGGUGCACAUAAUACAUGCAAGUCCAACGGGCAAUAUAGAAGUGGCAACACUUUUAUAAAGCUAGUGGCGAACGGGUGAGUAACGCGUAGGCAAUCUGCCUUAGAGAUUGGGAUAACCAUUUGAAAGAAUGGCUAAUACCAAAUACCUUAUAUUUUUUUCAUGAAUUUUAUAAGAAAGGUAGCCGCAAGGCUUCCGCUCUGAGAUGAGCCUGCGUCCUAUUAGCUUGUUGGUAGGGUAACGGCCUACCAAGGCAACGAUGGGUAGCCGGCCUGAGAGGGUGACCGGCCACACUGGGACUGAGAUACGGCCCAGACUCCUACGGGAGGCAGCAGUAGGGAAUAUUGCGCAAUGGGCGAAAGCCUGACGCAGUGACACCGUGUGAAGGAUGAAGGCCUUCGGGUUGUAAACUUCUGUCAAUUGAGGAAGAAGGUAGUAGGGUUAAUAGCCCGAAUACUGACGGUACUUAAUAAGGAAGUCUCGGCUAACUCCGUGCCAGCAGCCGCGGUAAGACGGAGGAGGCAAGCGUUGUCCGGAAUUAUUGGGCGUAAAGAGCGCGUAGGUGGCUUUUUAAGUCAUAUGUGAAAACCUCAGGCUUAACUUGAGGACUGCAUGUGAAACUGGAAAACUUGAGUGCAGUAGAGGAAAGUGGAAUUCCUGGUGUAGCGGUGAAAUGCGCAGAUAUCAGGAAGAACACCAGUGGCGAAGGCGGCUUUCUGGGCUGCUACUGACACUGAGGCGCGAAAGCUAGGGGAGCGAACAGGAUUAGAUACCCUGGUAGUCCUAGCUGUAAACGAUGGACACUAGGUGUGGGAAGUUAUCGACGCUCUCCGUGCCGAAGCUAAC